UGAGGAAUAUUGGACAAUGGGUGAGAGCCUGAUCCAGCCAUCCCGCGUGAAGGACGACGGCCCUAUGGGUUGUAAACUUCUUUUGUAUAGGGAUAAACCUACUCUCGUGAGAGUAGCUGAAGGUACUAUACGAAUAAGCACCGGCUAACUCCGUGCCAGCAGCCGCGGUAAUACGGAGGGUGCAAGCGUUAUCCGGAUUUAUUGGGUUUAAAGGGUCCGUAGGCGGAUCUGUAAGUCAGUGGUGAAAUCUCAUAGCUUAACUAUGAAACUGCCAUUGAUACUGCAGGUCUUGAGUAAAGUAGAAGUGGCUGGAAUAAGUAGUGUAGCGGUGAAAUGCAUAGAUAUUACUUAGAGCACCAAAUUGCGAAGG
rnacentral:rRNA from 1 species